UCGGACGUGGUGCACGGCGCACACCCGCUUUCCAUUGAGAGAAAAUUCGUAGACCAAUAUGCAGGAAACCCGGGUUCGACUCCCGGCGUCCGAA